GCGGGGCGUGGUGGUGCAAGCCUGUAAUCCCAGCUACUUGGGAGGCAGAGGCAGGAGAAUCGCUUGAACCCAGGAGGUGGAGGUUGCAGUGAGCCAAGAUCGUGCCACUGCACUCCAGCCUGGGUGACAGAGCGAGACUCUGUCUCAA
rnacentral:SRP_RNA from 1 species